rnacentral:rRNA from 1 species
GACGUAGGGCGCGAGCGUUGUCCGGAUUUAUUGGGCGUAAAGAGCUCGUAGGCGGUUCGGUAAGUCGGGUGUGAAAACUUUGGGCUUAACCCAAAGCGUGCACUCGAUACUGCCAUGACUAGAGUUCGGUAGGGGAGUGGGGAAUUCCUAGUGUAGCGGUGAAAUGCGCAGAUAUUAGGAGGAACACCGGUGGCGAAGGCGCCACUCUGGGCCGAAACUGACGCUGAGGAGCGAAAGCGUGGGUAGCAAACAGG